UGAGGGGGAUAGCUCAGCUGGCAGAGCAUGCGACCCUUAAUCUCAAGGUCGUAGGUUUGAGCCCCACAUUGGGAAAAA